AACUUUGUGCAGUGGCAGUAUCAUAGUCAAUGAGGUUUAUCCGAGGCACGAUUAUUGCUAAUUGAGAACAAAGCAGUGGCAGAAGUGAUUAUU
rnacentral:snRNA from 1 species